AGUGAUUUCAAGUACUUUGAGUCUAUGGCAUGUAUAGGAGUUUAAAUAUUUGAGUAUGUGAUAUUUCUUUAGCCAAAUGUAUUGGCUUAUUUUGAUUAUGGUGUUGGUAAACCUAUAUAUUUAUGAAGAGUCUUUAAUGGCUUGGUAUGAAUGGUAUGUGGAUGUGAUCAUGAAUGCUUACUGAUGAAAAUGAGGUUUGAUGACAUGUUGAUA
rnacentral:lncRNA from 1 species